GGGUCGCUGCCGGGCUGCGCCGGGAUGACCUCCGGGGCGGGGCGCGGGCGGUGGUCGCCCGCGCUCGGCUUCGUUCGAGCCGGAGGUGACCCC
rnacentral:tRNA from 1 species